AGGAAUAUUGGUCAAUGGUCGGCAGACUGAACCAGCCAAGUCGCGUGAGGGAAGACGGCCCUACGGGUUGUAAACCUCUUUUGUCGGAGAGUAAAGUACGCUACGCGUAGCGUAUUGCAAGUAUCCGAAGAAAAAGCAUCGGCUAACUCCGUGCCAGCAGCCGCGGUAAUACGGAGGAUGCGAGCGUUAUCCGGAUUUAUUGGGUUUAAAGGGUGCGUAGGCGGCACGCCAAGUCAGCGGUGAAAUUUCCGGGCUCAACCCGGAAUGUGCCGUUGAAACUGGCGAGCUAGAGUGCACAAGAGGCAGGCGGAAUGCGUGGUGUAGCGGUGAAAUGCAUAGAUAUCACGCAGAACCCCGAUUGCGAAGGCAGCCUGCUAGGGUGCGACAGACGCUGAGGCACGAAAGCGUGGGUAUCGAACAGGAUUAGAUACCCUGGUAGUCCACGCAGUAAACGAUGAAUACUAACUGUUUGCGAUACAAUGUAAGCGGUACAGCGAAAGCGUUAAGUAUUCCACCUGGGGAGUACGCCGGCAACGGUGAAACUCAAAGGAAUUGACGGGGGCCCGCACAAGCGGAGGAACAUGUGGUUUAAUUCGAUGAUACGCGAGGAACCUUACCCGGGCUCAAACGCAGGGGGAAUGCCGGUGAAAGUCGGCAGCUAGUAAUAGUCACCUGCGAGGUGCUGCAUGGUUGUCGUCAGCUCGUGCCGUGAGGUGUCGGCUUAAGUGCCAUAACGAGCGCAACCCCUAUUGACAGUUACUAACGGGUCAAGCCGAGGACUCUGUCGAGACUGCCGGCGCAAGCCGCGAGGAAGGUGGGGAUGACGUCAAAUCAGCACGGCCCUUACGUCCGGGGCGACACACGUGUUACAAUGGCAGGUACAGAAGGCAGCCAGUCAGCAAUGACGCGCGAAUCCCGAAAACCUGUCUCAGUUCGGAUUGGAGUCUGCAACCCGACUCCAUGAAGCUGGAUUCGCUAGUAAUCGUGCAUCAGCCAUGGCGCGGUGAAUACGUUCCCG
rnacentral:rRNA from 1 species